rnacentral:rRNA from 1 species
GUAGGGUAUUGGCUUACCGUGGCAGUGACGGUUAACGGGGGAUUAGGGUUCGAUUCCGGAGAGGGAGCCUGAGAAACGGCUACCACAUCUAAGGAAGGCAGCAGGCGCGCAAAUUACCCAAUCCUAACAGCAUAAGGGAGGUAGUGACAAGAAAUAACAAUACAAGGCAAUUAAAAUGUUUUGUAAUUGGAAUGAUAGAAAUUUAAACACUUUCUAAAGUAUCAAUUGGAGGGCAAGUCUGGUGCCAGCAGCCGCGGUAAUUCCAGCUCCAAUAGCGUAUAUUAAAGUUGUUGCAGUUAAAAAGCUCGUAGUUGGAUUUCUGUUAAAAAUAACUGGUCUGCUUUUAAUUAAAGUGGUACCUUGGUGUGUUUUUAGCAUUAAUGUCCUAUGAAAUGUUUUUUACUUUAUUGUUAAAAGCAAUUUUCAGGAUUUUUACUUUGAGAAAAUUAGAGUGUUUCAAGCAGGCUAACGUUUUGAAUACUGCAGCAUGGAAUAAUAAAAUAGGAUUUUGGUUCUACAUUAUUGGUUUUAAGAACUAAAUUAAUGAUUAAUAAGGACGGUUGGGGGCAUUUGUAUUUGACU